rnacentral:misc_RNA from 1 species
UAAGAUGCGCACUACCCAGCCCUGU